CUUGUGGGCCUUUUACAGACCUUCUUUUGAGAGAUGUCUAUUCAGCAAGCUUAUUCUUGAAUGGGUCAAGUUCCCUUGUAACUACUAGGCAACUACGGGACAAAUCUGCUCUGUAAGAAGCUGUAGAUUAUAAGAUAUGUCCUGAACUUUGAGGUGCUGAAGAAUAAAAAACAAAACAAUAAAGUGUGAUUUAGAAUAUACUAAACCUCAUACUCUGCUAAGGAGCAGCUUGAGUUGAAACUCCACUUUAACAUUGUCAGAAAUAAUAAACAGGAGGAAGGGAAUUAUAGGUAAUGUUUUGGACCUACAGAUGGGAUUUGAAAUUUGCCUUUAGAAAAGAAAGCUCGUUUAUUUCGUGAGAACUAUCAGAUGAGUCAUGUCACAUAGGUAGUCAAACAAAAGCAAAGGCAUUGUUCUGGCCUAGUGCCUAUCAAUCAUGGGGACUCUUGAGUUGUUAAACAACAAUUUUCUGUUUUGUACUCAUAGGACUACAUGACGUUUCUUGAAAACAAAUACUAGUUUUCUCCAAAGUGGGAAUUUACACUAUGAUGGGCCUGUAUCAUUUACUCAUUUAGAGGUUUGUAUGCAGUGUUGCUCAGAAACAAAACCAGGAGAUGUCAGGAGAAGACAGACAAGAGCACAAAAGGUAAGAACUAGACCUUGUAGAGCUAAUGAGCUGAGAUUAGAUUACUGUGACUCAAUGCACUGUCCUCCUGGGCACAGUGCAACAAGUUUAUGAAUUUUCAAAUUCAUCAUUUUGGGGAAAGGAAUAAUAUUCUGGUAUCAAUAAAUGAUGAUUGGAGACGUGGGCCUUGGGCUGGAAGAAGAAAAUAACAUCUUCUACGUCUGGAGAUAGGUCUGUACUUAAGAUGCUUUUGAUCUGCCUCUGGGGUUGGAUUGAGCUGCUCAGUGAUGGGGAAUAAACAGACACAUUCCUCAGAUGUUUCAGAAUAGGCUUGAAGCUCCCUUAGCUCGGGAGUCAACUCAUGUGCAUCCUAGGCCAACAGUGGUACCAAAUGUGCCUCUCUUCCACAGCUUUCACUUGAGAUUGUUAGCUGUAUUGGUUCUCUGGGGCUUUGGACAUGAGGGAACUUCUAUUGCACAUGAGAAAGAAGAGCUCCUUUGCCACAGUGAAAACAGAGGCCAGAGGAACAGGGGAAAAGGCCAAAAGUGGUAUUUGAAGCUCAAACUGAGUUUGUGGCAUCACACAUCCCAGUUGUCACCAUGAGCUAAGAAAUCACUUUCUUACAGCCCAGGAAUAACUGGCACUCAUCACAAAUUCAGGUUAUCAAGAAAAGGCAAGAGGAAAACUUGUUCUGAGAUCAGAUAAGACAGCUUGGGACAGGACGACAACGCUCUAUGACAGCAGAGUAACACCCAGGCUUUUGAAACCUUGGGUAUGGUUGAUUUCCCUGAGGUUUUCUCUGAGUAGCCAGUCACCGUGCUCAGUUUGUGGCCCCGGAUCUGCCUGGCACUGUGGAUAUAAACAUGGUAUUUUUCCUGAAGGCAUUUGGACAUUUUCCCUGUGUGUUUCUAACAAUACUCUAGCCACUCACAUGAAUCUAACAAGUGUGGAUUUAUCUAAAUCUUUCUUUAUCCUAUUUAUAUUUGUGGACUAUGCAACAUCUUGAGGAUAAUGAGUUCCAUAUGUUUACUACCCACUGUAUGAAGAAAUGCCAUCUUUUAUUUAUCGUCAAACUACUUUCAUGGAAUUUCAAUGGGUGCUCUGAGUUUUAGCACUCUAGGAUUUGCGUGUGGCCACACUUUACAGCUACAGCCCACCCACAUAAGCAUUUAUGUAGGUAAGAAAUGGGACCCUCUCUAUCUAGGUUCUUGUUCUAGUUUCAUUUCUGUUGCUAUGACAAAGCACUCUACCAAACCCAAUUUUAGAGGAGAAAGGGCUUAUUCGGCUUACAAUUCUAGGUUACCAGACAUCAUGUGGAGAGGUAACAGCAGCGUUGGCUUGAGAAAUUUGGCAGCACCACAUCCAGAGUCAAGAGAAAGGAUAAACAAGUGCACCUAUGCUGCCUGCCUGCUCUCCAAUAGCUUUCUCUACUUUUACAUAGUAAGGACCUAGCCUAGUCAUUGGUGUGGCCCACAGUGGCCUGGGUCUUCUUGUAGCAUGAGUCCUAAUAGGUCAUAAUAAAUAAUCUGCCUUUUUAUCCUAUUCCUAUAGCCUCCUUUUUUUCUUUUCAAAUUAGAUUAAAUAAUCUACCCUUAUAUCUUGUCUAUCUUCCUACGUCAAUUAGCUGUAAAGAUGCUUCCCCCACAGACAUGCCAACAGGCCAACUUGAUCUAAGUGGUUCUUCACUGAGUUUCCCUUUAAGGUUAUGUCAAGUUGACAAACAAAGCUAAAUAGCAUAACACUAUUUAGGAAAGGAUCUCCCCUCUUUCAGACAGAUACAAUCCUGUGCCAUAUCAUGGCCCUGUUGGAGAGUGUUGACUACAUGUCAGCCCUAGCCAGGCUUCCUAACCCCACCCCGUGCCUUUGGCUGGAUGCCCUUCCAGGCUUCAUCUAGGACAGUGAUAGACAGUACCCUCAGCUUAACCACAGACAUCUUUAAAAGAUAUUGAAGAUAUCGAUAUUAUUCUUUCUCAAAGUUCGUCUGCUAAGGGGAGGGAUCUUUAUUUUUUUGUCAACCCCUCCCUAAUUUACAGUCUAUUUCCCAUCUCUGGAGCCUUGGGGCUCAGGCUGAAGAGUCCAGAUGCUCUGCCCUCUCCUCAGAUCCCUCAGAUACCCUGCACUCCCCUCAGGUCCCUCAGAUGCAGUGGUAAGGAUGAGCUGAGUGGUCCAGAGCACCCAGUGGAAGCCAGAGGAUAUGUCUUCUGUGCAUUCCAUAUCUCUGGUUUUAAGCAGACAAACUGUAGGUGAAGAUAUUAGAAUCACAGUUUAGGUUAAUUUGCUCUAGAUCACUAUUAGCUGAUUACAUGUGCACAUGCACGUUGUUGGAGACUUUUCCAUACAGUUUCAAUGCUUCAUGCAGCUCACUUUCAUUUUAUCCUCAUCAAUUCAAAACUAAACCAACUUUAUCUGCCAACUUCAUAUUUUCUUUAAAAUUGCACCCAAAUCCAAAACAGGAUACAAACUUCAGCAAUAUAUGGAUAAUACAACACUUCAGAAAAAAAAAGUUGUAUGUCUGCAAGUUUUGCUACUUGGUACCUGGUAUUGCAAAGUCAGAAGAGGACGCUGGAGUGGCUGAGACUAUAGUUACAGACAAUUGUCAUCUGACAUGUGGGUGCUGGAAAUCAAACCCAGUUCCUCCGGGAGAGCAGCCAGUGCCCUUAAGCACUGGGCCCUCCCUCUUGCUUUUUACAAACCACUUUUAAGCUGGGUGUGGUGGCACACACCUUUAGUCCCAGCAUUCAGGAGGCAGAGGCAGGAGGAUCACGUUAAGUUCAAGGCCAGCCUGGUCUGCAUAGCAAGUUCCAGAACUAUCAGAGCUACAUAACACAGAGACCCUGCCUCAAUAAAAUAAAGUAAAAUAAAAAUACUUUUGAGUGCUUAAACAUUUCAAAUUUACAUAAGACUUUUAAAAAUAGUGAUAGUCAGGGCUUGCAAGAUGGGGCAUUAGGUAAAGUGACUAUUGCCAAGUCUGCCUGACUACUAGGAACUGUCUGCUGGCCUCCAUAUUCUCUUCACAUGCACACAUAAAUAAAUGCAACCCAGAGGGUUAUGACUUUUAACAUUUCUAAAGCCUAGGGUGGUGGCACACACCUGCAAUUCCAACAUCCACAAGGCUAAAAUAGGAAGACCAUGAGUUCCAGGCAAACUAGGGCACAUAGCAAGAUCCUGUCUCAAAAAAUAAGCAAAAUAUAGGUGUUAUCUUUUCACAUGUAUUCAUCUAGAACAGUGUCUGAUGCUUGAUUGCUGAUCAAAGGAAGCAUGAAUGGCCCAAGUCCUCACAGUUAGAUUUGUUUGUAUUAUUUUUUAUAUCAGCGGUUCCUUUCAAGGUGUUCAUUUCCUUUGCCCAUUAAAACACUGGAACUCUAGUGAUUCAUGGGUUCUGUGUUAGAUCUAGAAUAUUAGGUACAAGAGUUAGUCAUCCAAUGAAGCUGAACCUGAAUGUCAAACUUCAUCCCAGGUAUGGUCGUUUGAAUAGGAAUGACCCCUAUAGGCUCAUAUAUUUAAAUGCAUGAUCAUCAGGGAGUGGUACUACUUGAGAGGGAUUAGGAAGUGUAGCCUUGUUGGAGUAGGUGUGGCCUUGUUGGAGGAAGUGUAUCAUGAGGGAUGGGCUUUGGGAUUUCUGCCCAGUGUCUCUCUUCUUGCUGGUUGCAGAUCCAGAUGUAGAACUCUCAGCCAAUUCUCUAGCAUCAUGUCUGCCUGCAUGCAGCCAUACUUUCUGCCAUGAUGACAAUGGAUUAAACCUCUAAAACUAGCCCUCAUCCAGUGGCUGAUGGAAGCAGAGGCAAACAUCCACAGAUAUACUCUGAACUGAACUCUGGAACCCAGUUGCAGAAAGGGAGGAAUGAAGAACAAAGGGGUUGGUACCAGGCUGGUGAAAGCCACAGAACCAGCUGGACUGAACAAGGGAGAGCACAUGGACCCCAGAUUGCUGUCUGGGAGACCAGCACAGGACUGAAUUAGACCCCUGAACAUGGAUGUCAAUGAGGAGGCCUCCACACUCUAGGGGGGCCCUGGUAGUGGAUUGGCAUUUUCCCUGGUGUAAGAAGGGACUUUGAGAGUCCAUUCUACAUGAAGGGAUGCACUCUUGGCCUGGACACAUGGGGAAGGGCCUAGGCCUGGGCCACGAUGAUGUGGUGGACUUUGGGGAGCCUACCCUGCCUGGGGAGUGGAGGAUGGAUGGGUUGGGAGGGUAGGUGAGGGGUUGAGGGGGAGGGAUAGGGGGAGUGGAGGGGGAAGGGAUUGACAUGUGAGGCAAGCUUGUUCCUAAUUUGAACUAAAAAUUUUUAAAAUUAAAAAAUAAAAUAAAAAGAUUGGACUGUAGGCAAGUCUAUAGGAUAUUUUCUUAACCAGUGGUUGAUAGGGAGGGCCCAGCUCAUGAUGGGUGGUGCCAUCCUUGGACUGGUGUUUCUGAGUUCUAUAAGAAAGAAGGUCGAGCAAGCCAUGAGAAGUAAGUCAGUAAUCAGCACUCCUCCAUGGCCUCUGCAUCAGCUCCUGCCUACAGGUUCCUGCCCUGUUUGAGAUCCUGUCCUGACUUCCUUCAAUGAUGG
rnacentral:lncRNA from 1 species